AUUGAACGCUGGCGGCAUGCCUUACACAUGCAAGUCGAACGGUAACGGGCCUUCGGGUGCCGCCGAGUGGCGAACGGGUGAGUAAUACAUCGGAACGUGCCCGAUCGUGGGGGAUAACGAGGCGAAAGCUUUGCUAAUACCGCAUACGAUCUACGGAUGAAAGCAGGGGACCGCAAGGCCUUGCGCGGACGGAGCGGCCGAUGGCAGAUUAGGUAGUUGGUGGGAUAAAAGCUUCCAAGCCGACGAUCUGUAGCUGGUCUGAGAGGAUGAUCAGCCACACUGGGACUGAGACACGGCCCAGACUCCUACGGGAGGCAGCAGCGGGGAAUUUUGGACAAUGGGCGCAAGCCUGAUCCAGCCAUGCCGCGUGCAGGAUGAAGGCCUUCGGGUUGUAAACUGCUUUUGUACGGAACGAAAAGCCUUCUUUUAAUACAGGAGGGUCAUGACGGUACCGUAAGAAUAAGCACCGGCUAACUACGUG
rnacentral:rRNA from 1 species